AGGUUAGGCGUAUACCGCAUAUGCGAAAGACGUGGCCUGACUACAGAUUCAAACGGACGAACAUCUUUAAUAAAAGGUGCAGUGGCGGCGGGCGUCGGUGGGGCAAUGGGCUCAAUAGCAGGAACACCGUUCUUUCUAGUAAAGACCAGGCUCCAGGCGCAAGCUGCUAGGGCUAUUGCUGUGGGACACCAGCACAAACACAGCGGAAUGAUUGACGCCUUGAGAGACAUUUAUGUUAAAGAGGGAUUUAAAGGUCUAUUUCGAGGUGUGCAACCUCAAAUACCUCGGGGCGCAGUCGGCAGCAGCUCUCAAAUGGUUAGCUUCGCUUACGCCAAAGAAACCCUUCACGAGAAAGGUUUCUUCACUAACUCACCCUUGCUGCUGUCAUUUUUCGGAGCCAACCUUGGUGGCGUCGUGAUGACAUUUUGUCUGAAUCCGUUUGAUGUCGUCGCUACAAGAUUGUCUAACCAACCGGUGGACGCACACAACCAAGGCAAACUCUACAAGGGAAUGCUCGACUGUUUUUACAAAAUGAUAACCAAAGAAGGUGCCUCCUCAUUAUACAAAGGAGUUCUCGCCAACUACAUGAGGUUAGGGCCUCAUACGGUGCUGCUUUUGGUGUGUUGGGACCAGCUCAAGAUCCUUGAAGACUAUUUGAGAAGGUGACAAAGCCUUGUUACAUUAUAAUAAUCAGCAGAAAAGAUACAUGGACAGAUAUUCUGGACCGCAAAAGACGUAAUCGACAGACUUUGAAAGCGCAGAUGAACAAAAUUUUCAGUAAUAUGAAUCGGCAGCCUCUUCAAUUACAGAUAAACAAAAUUACCCGUAAUAUGAAUUGUUAAC